GACGAACGCUGGCGGCGUGCUUAACACAUGCAAGUCGAACGGAAAGGCCCUGCUUUUGUGGGGUGCUCGAGUGGCGAACGGGUGAGUAACACGUGAGUAACCUGCCCUUGACUUUGGGAUAACUUCAGGAAACUGGGGCUAAUACCGGAUAGGAGCUCCUGCUGCAUGGUGGGGGUUGGAAAGUUUCGGCGGUUGGGGAUGGACUCGCGGCUUAUCAGCUUGUUGGUGGGGUAGUGGCUUACCAAGGCUUUGACGGGUAGCCGGCCUGAGAGGGUGACCGGCCACAUUGGGCCUGGGAUACGGCCCAGACUCCUACGGGAGGCAGCAGUGGGGAAUAGUGCACGAUGGGCGGAAGCCUGAUGCAGCAACGCCGCGUGCGGGAUGACGGCCUUCGGGUUGUAAACCGCUUUCGCCUGUGACGAAGCGUGAGUGACGGUAAUGGGUAAAGAAGCACCGGCUAACUACGUG
rnacentral:rRNA from 1 species